GUAAAAGUUUUUCAUGUGAUUGAAGUAUGAUUUCUUUGAAUUCGGCGUAUGAACCAACGUUCUUUAAUAGGAAAAGACUGCGAAUUACUUUUGUGUAGGUGGUAUUAAUAAUUU